GAGGGUACAGCUCAAGUGGUAGAGCGCAUGCUUAGCAUGCAGAGGUCCUGGGUUCAAUCCCCAGUACCUCCU
rnacentral:tRNA from 1 species